rnacentral:rRNA from 1 species
UGCAAGUCGAACGAAGUAGCAAUACUUAGUGGCAGACGGGUGAGUAACAUGUGGGUAUCUGCCCUUUGGCCUGGAAUAACACGAGGAAACUUGUGCUAAUACCGGGUAAGUCUUUACGGAGAAAGCUUUAUGCACCAUUGGAUGAGCCCGCACUUGAUUAGUUUGUUGGUGGGGUAAUGGCCUACCAAGACUGUGAUCAAUAGCUGAUUUGAGAGGAUGAUCAGCCACAUUGGGACUGAGACACGGCCCAAACUCCUACGGGAGGCAGCAGUGGGGAAUCUUGCACAAUGGAGGAAACUCUGAUGCAGCGAUGCCGCGUGAGUGAAGAAGGCCCUUGGGUUGUAAAGCUCUUUCGUCGGGGAAGAAAAUGACUGUACCCGAAUAAGAAGGUCCGGCUAACUUCGUGCCAGCAGCCGCGGUAAUACGAAGGGACCUAGCGUAGUUCGGAAUUACUGGGCUUAAAGAGUUCGUAGGUGGUUGAAAAAGUUGGUGGUGAAAUCCCAGAGCUUAACUCUGGAACUGCCAUCAAAACUUUUCAGCUAGAGUUUGAUAGAGGAAAGCAGAAUUUCUAGUGUAGAGGUGAAAUUCGUAGAUAUUAGAAAGAAUACCAAUUGCGAAGGCAGCUUUCUGGAUCAUUACUGACACUGAGGAACGAAAGCAUGGGUAGCGAAGAGGAUUAGAUACCCUCGUAGUCCAUGCCGUAAACGAUGUGUGUUAGACGUUGGAAAUUUAUUUUCAGUGUCGCAGCGAAAGCGAUAAACACACCGCCUGGGGAGUACGACCGCAA